UUGCAGGCUGCAACCCGCCUGCAUGAAGUUGGAAUCGCUAGUAAUCGCGGAUCAGCAUGCCGCGGUGAAUACGUUCCCGGGCCUUGUACACACCGCCCGUCACACCAUGAGAGUCGGGAACACCCGAAGUCCGUAGCCUAACCGCAAGGGGGCGCGGCCGAAGGUGGGUUCGAUAAUUGGGUGAAGUCGUAACAAGGUAGC
rnacentral:rRNA from 1 species